rnacentral:rRNA from 1 species
GACGAACGCUGGCGGCGUGCUUAACACAUGCGAGUCGAACGGAAAGGCCCUGCUUUUGUGGGGUGCUCGAGUGGCGAACGGGUGAGUAACACGUGAGUAACCUGCCCUUGACUUUGGGAUAACUUCAGGAAACUGGGGCUAAUACCGGAUAGGAGCUCCUGCUGCAUGGUGGGGGUUGGAAAGUUUCGGCGGUUGGGGAUGGACUCGCGGCUUAUCAGCUUGUUGGUGGGGUAGUGGCUUACCAAGGCUUUGACGGGUAGCCGGCCUGAGAGGGUGACCGGCCACAUUGGGACUGAGAUACGGCCCAGACUCCUACGGGAGGCAGCAGUGGGGAAUAUUGCACAAUGGGCGGAAGCCUGAUGCAGCAACGCCGCGUGCGGGAUGACGGCCUUCGGGUUGUAAACCGCUUUCGCAUGUGACGAAGCGUGAGUGACGGUAAUGGGUAAAGAAGCACCGGCUAACUACGUG